CCUACUGGAGACAUCAUUGAGGCAUCUUGGUCAAUGGGCGCGAGCCUGAACCAGCCAAGUAGCGUGAAGUCUUCCUUCCCUCCUUUUUUUCCCCUUCUUUUUUCUUUUCCCCCAGGCGGAGACGCGUCUCCGGAUGAGUGUACCCGAAGAAAAAGCAUCGGCUAACUCCGUGCCAGCAGCCGCGGUAAUACGGAGGAUGCGAGCGUUAUCCGGAUUUAUUGGGUUUAAAGGGUGCGCAGGCGGGAGAUCAAGUCAGCGGUAAAAUGUCGGGGCUCAACCCCGGCCGGCCGUUGAAACUGGUUUUCUAGAGUUGGAGAGAAGUAUGCGGAAUUCGUGGUGUAGCGGUGAAAUGCAUAGAGAUCACGAAGAACUCCGAUUGCGAAGGCAGCAUACCGGCUCCAUACUGACGCUGAGGCACGAAAGCGUGGGGAUCGAACAGGAUUAGAGAAAAAAGUAGUC
rnacentral:rRNA from 1 species